AUAAGGUUUUCUUAAGUUAUUGUUUCUGCUUCUGAUGAAGAUGGAUGACUUACCAGCAAAGUUGGUGGUAAUUGCAGCACUAGUGUUGCUUCUUAUGGGGGAUUUCCAAUCAACUUGUGCAAUAUUACUUCCUCAUGAAGGUCGUGGGAGGAGUAGUUUAUGGCAUGUUGACGGUAGAGAUGGCUUGACAAAGAUACAUAUUGGAAGAAAACAAGGUAGCUUUGGAUGUCAAGGUGAGAAUUUUAGCAAGAAAAUAAUGCCCAUCCGGCGCUGCUUAAGACCAAUCACUGGGCCGAAGCCACCUUCACCCACUAAAAAUGGACGAAAGCAACAGUUCGUUCCAGUUCCCCCACAAUCCAUUGAUCCUUAAUUCUCCGGGAUCCUAAGUAAUGUUACAUGGAUUGGACCAUAUCUCAAUUGAAUUAGAUAAAUAUGUUCUGUUCUA